GAUGAAGAACGUAGCGAAAUGCGAUAAGUAAUGUGAAUUGCAGAAUUCAGUGAAUCAUCGAAUCUUUGAACGCACCUUGCGCUCCUUGGCAUUCCGAGGAGCAUGCCUGUUUGAGUGUCAUUAAAUUCUCAAGACCUGUCUGCUUUUUUGAUAGGUAUUGGAUUUUGGGGGUUGCAGGCUGUUUCAAAUAAAUAGCCUUGCUCUCCUUGAAUGUAUUAGUGGAGAAAAGCCAUUGAACUCCAUUGGUGUGAUAAAACCUAUCAAUGCCAGGAGCAAUAUCACUACUUCUCUCUGCUGUCUAACUGUGACUGUCUGUAUUAAUUAGUAUGGAUGGGGACAACUUGACCAACUUGACCUCAAAUCAGGUAGGACUACCCGCUGAACUUAAGCAUAUAAUAAGCGGAGGA
rnacentral:misc_RNA from 1 species